GACGAACGCUGGCGGCGUGCUUAACACAUGCAAGUCGAACGGAAAGGCCCUGCUUUUGUGGGGUGCUCGAGUGGCGAACGGGUGAGUAACACGUGAGUAACCUGCCCUUGACUUUGGGAUAACUUCAGGAAACUGGGGCUAAUACCGGAUAGGAGCUCCUGCUGCAUGGUGGGGGUUGGAAAGUUUCGGCGGUUGGGGAUGGACUCGCGGCUUAUCAGCUUGUUGGUGGGGUAGUGGCUUACCAAGGCUUUGACGGGUAGCCGGCCUGAGAGGGUGACCGGCCACAUUGGGACUGAGAUACGGCCCAGACUCCUACGGGAGGCAGCAGUGGGGAAUAUUGCACAAUGGGCGGAAGCCUGAGGCAGCAACGCCGCGUGCGGGAUGACGGCCUUCGGGUGGUAAACCGCUUUCGCCUGUGACGAAGCGUGAGGGACGGUAAUGGGUAAAGAAGCACCGGCUAACUACGU
rnacentral:rRNA from 1 species